rnacentral:rRNA from 1 species
UACAGAGGGUGCGAGCGUUAAUCGGAUUUACUGGGCGUAAAGCGUGCGUAGGCGGCUUUUUAAGUCGGAUGUGAAAUCCCCGAGCUUAACUUGGGAAUUGCAUUCGAUACUGGGAAGCUAGAGUAUGGGAGAGGAUGGUAGAAUUCCAGGUGUAGCGGUGAAAUGCGUAGAGAUCUGGAGGAAUACCGAUGGCGAAGGCAGCCAUCUGGCCUAAUACUGACGCUGAGGGACGAAAGCUGGGGGCACGAAC